rnacentral:rRNA from 1 species
UACGAAGGGGGCUAGCGUUGCUCGGAAUCACUGGGCGUAAAGGGUGCGUAGGCGGGUCUUUAAGUCAGGGGUGAAAGCCUGAGGCUCAACCUCAGAACUGCCCUUGAUACUGGGAGUCUUGAGUAUGGUAGAGGUUGGUGGAACAGCAAGUGUAGAGGUGAAAUUCGUAGAUAUUUGCUAGAACACCAGUGGCGAAGGCGGCCAACUGGACCAUAACUGACGCUGAGGUGCGAAAGCGUGGGGAGCAAACAGG